UAGGGAAUCUUCGGCAAUGGACGAAAGUCUGACCGAGCAACGCCGCGUGAGUGAAGAAGGUUUUCGGAUCGUAAAACUCUGUUGUUAGAGAAGAACAAGGACGUUAGUAACUGAACGUCCCCUGACGGUAUCUAACCAGAAAGCCACGGCUAACUACGUGCCAGCAGCCGCGGUAAUACGUAGGUGGCAAGCGUUGUCCGGAUUUAUUGGGCGUAAAGCGAGCGCAGGCGGUUUCUUAAGUCUGAUGUGAAAGCCCCCGGCUCAACCGGGGAGGGUCAUUGGAAACUGGGAGACUUGAGUGCAGAAGAGGAGAGUGGAAUUCCAUGUGUAGCGGUGAAAUGCGUAGAUACAUGGAGGAACACCAGUGGCGAAGGCGGCUCUCUGGUCUGUAACUGACGCUGAGGCUCGAAAGCGUGGGGAGCAAACAGG
rnacentral:rRNA from 1 species